GACGAACGCUGGCGGCGUGCCUAAUACAUGCAAGUAGAACGCAGUUGCGAACGGGUGAGUAAUACGUGAGUAACCUGCCCUCCUUUUUGGGAUAAGCCUUGGAAACGGGGUCUAAUACCGGAUAAAGGGGGAUGGGCUCGCGGCCUAUCAGCUUGUUGGUGGGGUGAUGGCCUACCAAGGCGGUGACGGGUAGCCGGGCUGAGGGGGUGACCGGCAACAGUGAGACGGCGAUACGGCCCAGGGUCGGACGUGGGGUAGAAGUGGGGGAUAUGGGACAAUGGGUGAAACCCUGAUGCAGCGACUCCGCAGGGGGGAUUAAGGCUUUCGGGUUGUAAAAGUCGUUCGCAAUCGAACGGUUACGUGGAGAAGAAGCGCCGGCUAACUACGUGCCAGCAGCCGCGGUAAUAC
rnacentral:rRNA from 1 species